rnacentral:rRNA from 1 species
CGACCGGCGCACGGGUGCGUAACGCGUAUGCAACCUACCUCUAACAGGGGGAUAACACUGAGAAAUUGGUACUAAUACCCCAUAAUAUCAUAGAAGGCAUCUUUUAUGGUUGAAAAUUCCGAUGGUUAGAGAUGGGCAUGCGUUGUAUUAGCUAGUUGGUGGGGUAACGGCUCACCAAGGCGACGAUACAUAGGGGGACUGAGAGGUUAACCCCCCACACUGGUACUGAGACACGGACCAG